CCCACAACAUCAUGGUUCCUAGUCAGAUUCAUUAACCACUAAGCCACCACGGGAACUCCCCACACCACCUUUCUUCCCCAGCCUGGGUACUGCCCCUGACCAGGGUACUGCCCCUGGCUGCCAACUUUCUCAGAUGCUCACCUCCUCUGUGGUUCUAGGGCUAUAGCUGAGAUCUGGGAGCAGAUGAGGCAGAGGCUGACCCAUAGAGGGCACAGAGGCAGGGCAGGAACAGAUAUGGGGUUGUCCUAGCUCUGUGCAGGCAAGGGGUCCAGCUGAGGGAUCCAGGAGGACCAGCAAAGGCCCAGGCUAGAAGGACCCUUUCGAUCCUGUUUCUCCCUCCAACUUACAGAUGGCGAGACAAAAACAGAGAGAGAAACUGGGCCUGGGACCCACUGGGAGGCAGGGGUCACCCUGCCCACUGGUCUGGAGAAUUGCUACUUGCAGGGCUUCAGAGGCAGCUAGAAGCUCCUGUCCUCCUGGUUCUGGAGCCCUUGAUGCUCGACGCCGCACCAGCUCCUGUUCCCUGAGGACACAGUCCAAAGCCUGAGGGUCCACCAAUGGAUCUGCCCCCCCUACCCCUGGGGUUCCCAGAGAGCAGCUGAGGCAAAAGACAAGAAGCCACCACCCAUCCAUACCCUCCAUGCAAGGUCCUAAAGAUGAGGCCCUCAGUCAGAGUGAAACAGUAGCCAAGCACUAACAGCAUUCAAGCUCCUGGGAGUGGAUGUGCUACACUGUUUAUCACUCGCAGCUGCAUGUUAUAUCAAAUUGUUUCCUGAGCUUCAUCAGAAGUGCAGGCAGUGCCUUGCUGGUGGAACCCCGGAUAAAUAGACUUUGAGACUAAAGCCCCACACACAUUUGAUAUUGGGCUUUAAUACUGACUCAUCCAAACUGGACCUGAGGUAUCAGGAAGUUCAGGGGGACUGGAAACAAGCUCUGUGCAGUGUGCAUUGUCUGCAUGAUCCUCAUCGCGUUUUUUGAGGGUCCUGCCUGGGACUGCACCUUGACCCGAAGACAGGACAGAUGUCUGGCUGCCAGGUGCUGGGAGAGGCUGAUGGAACAGCACUAGGGGGAAGGUGCAAGAUGGUGUCUUUCUGCCCCUCCAGACUGUACAGCUGCUGCAGGUGCUCCAAGCCGACCCCUAGCUGCCGGUGGCUCUGGCCCAGCUCUUCUGAGAGUCUCCAUUCACCUGAGAAGACCCCAACUCCACCCAGAGUCACAGCUCAGCCUCAGGUGAGGGAGCUCCCCUGGCUGGGAUCUGUCUGCUCAAGCUAGCCUGCGGGCCUUUAUUCAUGCAGCUCCCUCCUCCCGAGUUCCUCAUCUCUGAUCUCUGCAGCCUCUGAGACUCAGUCUUUCCCAGAGGCCUCCUCUGGAGUUCCCGUUGUGGCUCAGCGGUAACAGACCCGGCUAGUAUCCAUGAGGAUGCAGAUGCUCUCUGGCCUCGC